AUUGAACGCUGGCGGCAGGCCUAACACAUGCACGUCGAACGAGUGGCGGACGGGUGAGUCAUGUCUGGGAAACUGCCUGAUGGAGGGGGAUAACUACUGGAAACGGUAGCUAAUACCGCAUACCAUCAGAUGGGCCCAGAUGGGAUUAGCUGGGUGGUGGGGUAACGGCUCACCAAGGCGACGACCCCUAGCUGGGCUGAGAGGAUGACCAGCCCCACUGGAACUGAGACACGGUCCAGACUCCGACGUGAGGCAGCAGUGUGGAAUAUUGCACAAUGGGCGCAAGCCUGAUGCAGCCAUGCCGCGUGUAUGAAGAGGGCCUUCGGGUUGUAAAGUACUUUCAGCGGGGAGGCGUUACCCGCAGAAGAAGCACCGGCUAACUCCGUGCCAGCAGCCGCGGUAAUAC
rnacentral:rRNA from 1 species